rnacentral:lncRNA from 1 species
UUCUUUUUCAUGAGAGGAUAUACAACCUAAAGCUCUCCCCUCCAUCUCCAGCAUCCAACGACACCCAUCCUCUUCACCACCAAACCAGCCGCCAACCACCAUCUGAUCCUAACUCGUCCCAAAAUCACGCACAAUCAGAUUUUGUAAAAGCUCCAUCAACUCCUUUUAAAACAAUUGGAUUCAUAGCAGGAAAUUUAUAUAUAUAUGUAUAUAUCAGUGAUGAAUGAACUCCUUUUUUCCUUUGCAUUUCCCACUUAAAUGAUUCUUUACACUCUAAGUUAAAGAUAGAACUUAAGAGAGAAAAUUGAUCAGUUGAACAUUAAUAGCAAGCUGGAAACUGAAGAGCUUAGUGUGUAUAGUAUUCUCAAUAUAAAACUCCUUCGGAUAAAUAGAAGUCAUUUAGAAUAAGAAGGCAAGAGUGUAGUCGGAUCCGAUGUUCGGAGUUUAGUGUGAUUGAGGUCGUUUUGGUUUCGAGCUUCCGGUGCCGAUUCGAGUUUCCAUUCGCGAUUCCGGCACCUAUGUUUCCAAGUCGCUGUAUAAUUAAACUUCAGGUUCAUUGAGGUCAAUUUAUCAUUUCCUUCUACUUCCGGUUUGCUUAACAUCAUGCUUUUAUAUUUGUUAAUCUACCGUUACUCUGUUUUUGAAUGUCAUUUUGUUGCAGCUGUUUAGUUUAAUAUGUUUGGAUGGGUCUUGAUAGUUAAAGUGACCUUUGAUUCCAUAUCUAAUUAUAUUAUUAAUAGACAAUUGUUUAGACAUCUGCUCGUGUUUAUUCGAAUUGGUUAUAGCUGAACAUUUUUUUGUCACAAUAUGGAAAUUAGGUUGCUAUUCAUCAACUGAACUACGUCAAAUUAGAUUAAAGGGGCCCGGGUGUGCAUUUCAUGUGACCCGACUUUAAUUCCCAAUAAUGUUAAAUAGAACGCGUCGUGAACUGCGGGUGCAUUUCAUGUAGCGUGGCUUACGAUGUGUUUUAAAUAACCUUGAAUUUUCCCGAAAUAUUAAAAGCGGAUAAAAAUUAAAAAAUGCACAAUAGGUUUAAAACGUAUAAAAAAUCAGAUAAUUAGGCCAAUAAUAAUAGUUGAGUGACCGUGCUAAAACCGCGGAACUCGAAAAUGCCUAACACCUUCUCCCGGAUUAAUAGAAUUCCUUACUCGGAUUUCUGUGUUCGCAGACCAUAAAACGGAGUCAAUCUUUCCUCGACUCGGGAUUUAAACUGGUGACUUGGGACAACAUAAAUUAUCCUAAGUGGCGACUCUAAUUUUAAUAAAUAAUCCCGUUUCGAUUGUAACUUAAAUUAGAAAAAACUCCCUUAUACCCCUUCCGAGGGUAGGUAAAAAGGAGUUGUGACAGCUCUGGCGACUCUGCUGGGGAAAAGAACCCAGAACUUCUGGUUCAGGGUUCAGAAUUUGAGCUUAGAAUAUCUGUUAUAGUUGGCUUUAUUUAUUAUUUGAUUUUUACGUGUUUGAGCCUAAUGUGCUAAAUGUUACUUUAUCGCUUUGAUAUUGUUUGAACUGUAUAUAAAUUGUUAUGAAACCCUCCUCUCUCUGAGUCUUCUAAAUCGUCUGGGAAGUGUGCACUUCAUGCGACUUCUUUUCUGUUAGAGUCAUAUCCCAAUUUUAGAAUGACGUCCGGACAAGUUGCAAUGCCGGUGAAGCUUCUGUAUUCCUGGUACGCUGCCCCCCUCGGCUUGAGUUGUCCGCUUGCAUAAGCCAGGUCUAGAAUAAAUAAACCCAGGUUUUUAAACCUAGAAUAACAUAGUCUCAUGUUGGAUCCCUAGUAAGAACGCUUGUUUGCAUCACGUGCAUCAGACUUUGGGGACUCAACGUAGGGGUUGGGUUCGUCUAGGACAGGAGUACCCAAAAAAUAAAAGACCAUCUUGAUGCAUCCUAUAUGUUACAUGAUGCAUUUCUUCAAGGGUAAAAGGGUCAUUUGGUGGACCAAUAAUAGUUGAGGGCAAAUGAAAAAGAAAAAAAAGGGGUGAAGUGUGAAAAUAAGGCAAGUAGGGCCCAACUAUAUUUUCUUUCACAUUUUUGUUAAGAAAAAGAAGAAAAACUUGAAAAAUUAAAAAAAAAAAAGAUUUUGCAGUUUUUUGAUCAAUUUCCGAAAAUCAAAAAAAGGAAAAGAAAAUCCAAAAGAGUUUACAUGUUUCAUCAUUUUUCAAAAAAAAAGAAGACAAAAAACAUAUUUUCUUUAAAUUAGUUGUUUUUUUAUUCUCGCCCUUAUCCAAUCUUCCCGAACUACGCAUACCUGAUUCUCAUCUUUCGGGGUGUAAUACGUAGGCAACCCACAUAGGGUCCGGUAUUCCUAGUGGGUCUUAGGUUCUUGGCUUCGCGGGGUCUUAGCCGAAUCUUGCAUUUUUAGCCACUUUUAGCCACAUAGGUUAAUUUUAGAAAAAUAGUCAAUCAUGUCUUGCAUGUGUCCAACAGGAAGAGUUAUUGUCUCACAUAGCGUUCUAGGUCUUUAACUUUAUGUGGUCUUAAUUUUAUCAUGCAGGUGGAUCUACUUACCGAUGUUUGGGCAUGAAAGACGCCUUAGGACCAUCCAGUUAGGAUCACUCAUUCAGGAGUUUGCUUGAGGAGAUUUUCUUUAUGUUUUUAGUCUGUUGUUCUUUUUAUAUCAUCUUUUACCUUUUAAUUUUGUACAGUUAUGUCGAGUCUUUUAGGUAAUGUUAGAGUCUGU